AAGAAGGCCCUCGGGUUGUAAAGCACUUUAAGCGAGGAGGAAGGUCAUCAUACUAAUAUUAUGAUGAAUUGACGUUACUCGCAGAAUAAGCACCGGCUAACUCUGUGCCAGCAGCCGCGGUAAUACAGAGGGUGCAAGCGUUAAUCGGAAUUACUGGGCGUAAAGCGCGCGUAGGCGGUUUGUUAAGUCGGAUGUGAAAUCCCUGGGCUCAACCUAGGCACUGCAUCCGAUACUGGCUGACUAGAGUGUGGGAGAGGAAGGUAGAAUUCCAGGUGUAGCGGUGAAAUGCGUAGAGAUCUGGAGGAAUACCGAUGGCGAAGGCAGCCUUCUGGCCUAACACUGACGCUGAGGUGCGAAAGCAUGGGGAGCAAACAGGAUUAGAUACCCUGGUAGUCCAUGCUGUAAACGAUGUCAACUAGCCGUUGGGGUCUUUAAGGCUUUAGUGGCGUAGCUAACGCGAUAAGUUGACCGCCUGGGGAGUACGGUCGCAAGACUAAAACUCAAAUGAAUUGACGGGGGCCC
rnacentral:rRNA from 1 species